AAAGUCGUAACAAGGUUUCCGUAGGUGAACCUGCGGAAGGAUCAUUACCGAGUAAAGGGUCUCUAAGGCCCGCACUCCCACCCUUUGUGUACCUACCUUUGUUGCUUUGGCGGGCCGCGCCGCGGCCUCCGUGUAGCCGCCGGCUUCGGCUGGUGAGCGCCCGCCAGAGGACCUUCAAAACUCUGUUUAUCGGUGUCGUCUGAGUUAAACAUCAAUAAAUUAAAACUUUCAACAACGGAUCUCUUGGUUCUG
rnacentral:misc_RNA from 1 species